GACGAACGCUGGCGGCGUGCUUAACACAUGCAAGUCGAACGGAAAGGCUCUGCCUUUGUGGGGUGCCCGGGUGGCGAACGGGUGGGUAACACGUGAGUAUCCUGCCCAUGACUUUGGGAUAACUUCAGGAAACGGGGGCUAAUACCGGAUCGGAGAUCCAUCUGCAUGGUGUGGGUUGGCAAGUUUUGGCGGUUGGGGAUGGACUGGCGGCUUAUCAGGUUGUUGGUGGGGUAGUGGCUUACCAGGGCUUUGACGGGUAGCCGGCCUGGGAGGGUGACCGGCCACAUCGGGACUGAGAUACGACCCAGACUCCUCCGGGAGGCAGGAGUGCGGAAUAGUGCAUAAUGGGAGGAAGCCUGAUGCAGUAAAGCCGCGUGCGGGAUGACGGGAUGCGGGUAGUAUUCCGAUGCCGCCUGUGACGAAGCGUGAGUGACGGUAAUGGGUAAAGAAGCACCGGCUAACUACGUG
rnacentral:rRNA from 1 species